rnacentral:rRNA from 1 species
CCUACGGGAGGCAGCAGUAGGGAAUCUUCCACAAUGGGCGAAAGCCUGAUGGAGCAACGCCGCGUGGGUGAAGAAGGUCUUCGGAUCGUAAAACCCUGUUGUUAGAGAAGAAAGUGCGUGAGAGUAACUGUUCACGUUUCGACGGUAUCUAACCAGAAAGCCACGGCUAACUACGUGCCAGCAGCCGCGGUAAUACGUAGGUGGCAAGCGUUAACCGGAUUUAUUGGGCGUAAAGGGAACGCAGGCGGUCUUUUAAGUCUGAUGUGAAAGCCUUCGGCUUAACCGGAGUAGUGCAUUGGAAACUGGGAGACGUGAGUGCAGAAGAGGAGAGUGGAACGCCAUGUGUAGCGGUGAAAUGCGUAGAUAUAUGGAAGAACACCAGUGGCGAAGGCGGCUCUCUGGUCUGUAACUGACGCUGAGGUUCGAAAGCGUGGGUAGCAAACAGGAUUAGAUACCCCAGUAGUC